rnacentral:rRNA from 1 species
UGAGGAAUAUUGGGCAAUGCCCGCAAGGGUGACCCAGCAACGCCGCGUGGAGGAUGAAUGUCGUAAGAUUGUAAACUCCUGUUAGAGGGGAAGAAUAGUACCGGUUGGACCGGUAUAUGACUGUACCCUCAGAGAAAGCCCCGGCUAACUACGUGCCAGCAGCCGCGGUAAUACGUAGGGAGCGAGCGUUGUCCGGAAUUACUGGGCGUAAAGGGUGCGUAGGCGGCUUGGCAAGUCAGAUGUGAAAUCCCCGGGCUUAACUCGGGAGUUGCAUUUGAAACUGCUAGGCUUGAGUGCAGGAGAGGAAAGCGGAAUUCCUAGUGUAGCGGUGAAAUGCGUAGAUAUUAGGAGGAACACCAGUGGCGAAGGCGGCUUUCUGGACUGUAACUGACGCUGAGGCACGAAAGCGUGGGGAGCAAACA